rnacentral:lncRNA from 1 species
UUUUGCUUUCCUUAUUGAUAAUACUAUCCUAACAGGUGUGGGGCGAUGGAUCCUUGCUUUUGACUACAUUUGGCUUUGAUUACAUUGGCCAUGACUGGUGAUGAGGUGCACUUUUGCCUGGUGGGCAUUUGUAUGUCACCUUUGGAGAAAUGCAUGUUCAAGCCCCGACCUUUUUGUCUCUUGAGUCAUCUCAGGAACUGCCAAAAAAGAGAAAGUUGAGAUGGAUUCAGUGUCCUCUUCCUGGUACCGUUUGCUCUUUGAGAACUGGAGUCAUGGAAUGUGAGGGAGCCAAAUCACAGCCUGUACAGCGAGCUGAACCGUCUGCGUCCCAGAAAUGCGCUUGAACAAUCACAGCAACUGUCAUAAAGGAGACAGUAGUUUAGGUGAGUAAGCAUUUCUAUGUCUGUGGUCUUCUACUCCAAAAAUGUGAUUUUAAAGUUCAAGAUUUGGGAGAAAUUCAAACAGAUUGGGCCAGCAGGGGGAGCUAGUAAACUGAGUUUGAGAAAGCAUAAAGCUA